rfam:Camelus ferus unplaced genomic scaffold scaffold14590, whole genome shotgun sequence.
GAGGGUAUAGCUCAGUGGUAGAGCCUCUGCUGAGCAUGCCUGAGGUCCUGGGUUCAAUCCCCAGUAGCUCCA